UUGUCCUGUGACUGCGUACCUUUUGUAUAAUGGGUCAGCGACUUAUAUUCAGUGGCAAGGUUAACCAUCUAGGGGAGCCGUAGGGAAACCGAGUCUUAACUGGGCGUUCAGUCUCUGGAUAUAGACCCGAAACCAGGUGAUCUAGCCAUGGGCAGGUUGAAGGUUGAGUAACAUCAACUGGAGGACCGAACCGACUAAUGUUGAAAAAUUAGCGGAUGACUUGUGGCUAGGGGUGAAAGGCCAAUCAAACCUGGAGAUAGCUGGUUCUCCCCGAAAGCUAUUUAGGUAGCGCCUCGGACGAAUACUACUGGGGGUAGAGCACUGUUAAGGCUAGGGGGUCAUCCCGACUUACCAACCCUUUGCAAACUCCGAAUACCAGUAAGUACUAUCCGGGAGACACACGGCGGGUGCUAACGUCCGUCGUGGAGAGGGAAACAACCCAGACCGCCAGCUAAGGUCCCAAAUUACUACUAAGUGGGAAACGAUGUGGGAAGGCUCAGACAGCCAGGAUGUUGGCUUAGAAGCAGCCAUCAUUUAAAGAAAGCGUAAUAGCUCACUGGUCGAGUCGGCCUGCGCGGAAGAUGUAACGGGGCUAAGUAGUAAACCGAAGCUGCGGCAAUAUACUUUUGUAUAUUGGGUAGGGGAGCGUUCUGUAAGCGGUUGAAGGUGUGUGGUAACGCAUGCUGGACGUAUCAGAAGUGCGAAUGCUGACAUGAGUAACGAUAAAGGGGGUGAAAAACCUCCUCGCCGGAAGACCAAGGGUUCCUGUCCAACGUUAAUCGGGGCAGGGUAAGUCGACCCCUAAGGCGAGGCCGAAAGGCGUAGUCGAUGGGAAACGGGUUAAUAUUCCCGUACUUCUUACAAUUGCGAUGGGGGGACGGAGAAGGCUAGGUGGGCCUGGCGACGGUUGUCCAGGUUCAAGUGCGUAGGCUUAAGAGUUAGGUAAAUCCGGCUCUUUCUAAGGCUGAGACACGACGUCGAGCACCUACGGGUGUGAAGUCAUUGAUGCCAUGCUUCCAGGAAAAGCCUCUAAGCUUCAGAUUGUAAGGAAUCGUACCCCAAACCGACACAGGUGGUCGGGUAGAGAAUACCAAGGCGCUUGAGAGAACUCGGGUGAAGGAACUAGGCAAAAUGGUACCGUAACUUCGGGAGAAGGUACGCUCU
rnacentral:rRNA from 1 species